GAUGAACGCUGGCGGCGUGCCUAAUACAUGCAAGUCGAGCGAACGGACGAGAAGCUUGCUUCUCUGAUGUUAGCGGCGGACGGGUGAGUAACACGUGGAUAACCUACCUAUAAGACUGGGAUAACUUCGGGAAACCGUAGCUAAUACCGGAUAAUAUUUUGAACCGCAUGGUUCAAAAGUGAAAGACGGUCUUGCUGUCACUUAUAGAUGGAUCCGCGCUGCAUUAGCUAGUUGGUAAGGUAACGGCUUACCAAGGCAACGAUGCAUAGCCGACCUGAGAGGAGGAUCGGCCACACUGGAACUGCGACACGGUCCAGACUCCUACUGGAGGCAGCAGUAGGGAAUCUUCCUCAAUGGGCGAAAGCCUGACGGAGCAACGCCGCGUGAGUGAUGAAGGUCUUCGGAUCGUAAAACUCUGUUAUUAGGGAAGAACAUAUGUGUAAGUAACUGUGCACAUCUUGACGGUACCUAAUCAGAAAGCCACGGCUAACUACGUG
rnacentral:rRNA from 1 species